GACGAACGCUGGCGGCGUGCUUAACACAUGCAAGUCGAGCGAGGCCCCUCCUUCGGGAGGGUGUCCUAGCGGCGAACUGGUGAGUAACACGUGGGCAACCUGCCCUCAGCUCUGGGAUAACUCCGGGAAACCGGGGCUAAUACCGGAUACGACCUCCACGGGCAUCUGCGGAGGUGGAAAGUUUUUCGGCUGAGGAUGGGCCCGCGGCCUAUCAGCUAGUUGGUGGGGUAGUGGCCCACCAAGGCGACGACGGGUAGCCGGCCUGAGAGGGCGACCGGCCACACUGGGACUGAGACACGGCCCAGACUCCUACGGGAGGCAGCAGUGGGGAAUAUUGCGCAAUGGGCGAAAGCCUGACGCAGCGACGCCGCGUGAGGGACGAAGGCCUUCGGGUUGUAAACCUCUUUCAGCAGGGACGAAGCGAAAGUGACGGUACCUGCAGAAGAAGCACCGGCCAACUACGUG
rnacentral:rRNA from 1 species